GUCCACACCGUAAACGUUGGGCGCUAGGUGUGGGGUCCAUGUAUGGGUUCCGUGCCGUAGCUAACGCAUUAAGCGCCCCGCCUGGGGAGUACGGCCGCAAGGCUAAAACUCAAAGGAAUUGACGGGGCCCGCACAAGCGGCGGAGCAUGCGGAUUAAUUCGAUGCAACGCGAAGAACCUUACCUGGGUUUGACAUGGGAAGUGUACCUGCAGAGAUGUGGGGUCCUUUUGGGCUUCUCACAGGUGGUGCAUGGCUGUCGU
rnacentral:rRNA from 1 species